rnacentral:rRNA from 1 species
GACGAACGCUGGCGGCGUGCCUAAUACAUGCAAGUAGAACGCUGAAGGAGGAGCUUGCUUCUCUGGAUGAGUUGCGAACGGGUGAGUAACGCGUAGGUAACCUGCCUGGUAGCGGGGGAUAACUAUUGGAAACGAUAGCUAAUACCGCAUAAGAGUAGAUGUUGCAUGACAUUUGCUUAAAAGGUGCAAUUGCAUCACUACCAGAUGGACCUGCGUUGUAUUAGCUAGUUGGUGGGGUAACGGCUCACCAAGGCGACGAUACAUAGCCGACCUGAGAGGGUGAGCGGCCACACUGGGACGGAGACACGGCCCAGACUCCUACGGGAGGCAGCAGUAGGGAAUCUUCGGCAAUGGACGGAAGUCUGACCGAGCAACGCCGCGUGAGUGAAGAAGGUUUUCGGAUCGUAAAGCUCUGUUGUAAGAGAAGAACGAGUGUGAGAGUGGAAAGUUCACACUGUGACGGUAUCUGACCAGAAAGGGACGGCUAACUACGUG